AGAUGACAGACAAGGAUUUCUCUCCACUGGAGACUCCUGAAAUGAGACGAUCCCCUGUUCCAGAAAUUCAGUUCGGUCUUGAGGACAUCCCAGAAGAGAGGGUCCCAGAGAUGGAAGAUAUUACAAAGGGUAUCGAGGAAGAAUUAAGGCCACGGGAUGCUAUUGAAGGUUUGGUGACCUUUCACUCUCUGCUGCCCCCUCAGGCCAGCCGCAGAAUUGUUGCCCAAAUGUUUUUGAGAUUGCUAGAGGAAAUAGUCGCAGGACAUGUCACAGUGCGACAGGACGAGCCGUAUGGUGACAUAAUCAUUUCACAGCUGUAGAUCGAUGAGGACUGAUGAGGACUUGCCAUUGUUUCUGGACAAAACUGGUAUGAGGAUAUUUAUUCACAUGGG
rnacentral:lncRNA from 1 species